AUGAGCCAAGAACCAGGGCAUAUGCUUCGGUAUCUGUGUUUCCUGUUGUACCAUUCUGGUUGUCAGGCAUCUCCCAUCUUUCUGUCCUUCUCUCAGCGCCCCAGAUUCACUAACCCUAACUUCUGUCUACAUUCCUGUCAUGUCACAAAGGGCUGGGCUGGAGCAAAGGAUUUCAAGAAUGGGAGCAAAGAGGGAUCUCCUGGAAAACCUGCUGCUUUCCGCUCUCCUCCCCUGGAGAAGUUGAAAAGGAAGAAAACCAUCAUCCUGUUUGUUCUUGUGUCAUGUGCUAUUAUGUUCCCUUACUUCUCCCUGCAGAUAACUUUAGGGAAAUACUUCUCUGCUGAACCUUUGAAAGCCCUCAUGCCAGUGGCCUUUCUCAUCAGAUGUCUGAAGGAGACAGAUUCUGAGGAUCAGUGUCCUGUUGACUGAUGGAGCUUCUACUCCAGGUUCAAGGGCAGCGGUCCUCAGGAGACCCCAGCACUUAACAUCUUCAGUUGGAUAUGACACAUGACUCAAGUGAGUUCAUAGAUCUGAUAAAAGCAUAUUGUGGGAUAUCUCUGUAAGGUUCACAAACUAGCCUAAAAGUAAAGAAGCUACUUUGAUCUCAUCAUGGAAGAAAAAGGUUAGCAGGUGGCAUUUAAUUUCUUCAUCAGCUAAUGCUUUAUAGUAGCCCUUGAGGUCUAUUAAAGAUGUCUUCUUUUGUCUGAAAGCAAUUAUUUACCCAACCUGAGGCAGGAACUUGAUCUUUAGCAUGCAUUUGGAAUAAAUAUACCUAAAUUGUUCUCACUGGGUAAAUAUUAUUCAGUGAUCAGCAUGUUUCUCUCAGGUGGUUGUUGAAAUAUGCAUUUGGUUAGAAACUCUUCCUAGUGAUUUGAGAUUGUAAUAUAGUUUAUUCCCUGGAAGCUGCAUUCUUUAUCUAUUCUAUAAUGAAAAGUCUUAAGAUGCCAGAAAAUUUCCAAAUGUUAGUUAAAAAUAUCUUUUACUGGCAGGCUACAAUUCAUGGGAUCACAAGAGUUGGACACAACUUAGUGGUAUCCUCAGCUUUCAACUCAGCUUUAAAAAUUUAUAUAUUUAAAUAAUUACUUUAGAGUGUCUUAUUGAUCUGCUAAAAUAACCAUGUAAUCUUAAAGGUAGAUAUGUUUACCUUCCCAGUACAUAAUAAUUUCAGCUCUUUAUUACCUUGCCUCCCUCCUCCUCCCCCUUGCAGUGUACCCAGGCAACCACUGAUUUUCUUUCACUAUAGAUUACUUUUCAUAUCCUGGAAUUUUAUUCAAAUGGAAUCAUAAAGGAUUUUCUUUUUUUUUUUUGGUCAGUUGGUUUUGGUUGACUGGCUUCUUUCAUUCAGCCUUUUGGUUUUAGAUGUAUCCAUUUUGUUGCAUGUAUCAAUAGUUCAUUAUUUUUUAUUGAUGAGUAGUGUCCUAGUAUGAGCUUCGUCUAUGACUCAGUGGUAAAGAAUCUAUCUGCCUGUAAUGCGGGAGCCGUGGGUUCGAUCCCUGGGUCAGGAAGAUCCUCUGGAGAAGGGAAUGGCAACCCACUCCAGUAUUCUUACCUGGAGAAUCCCAUGUACAGAGGAGCCUGGCAGGUUGCAAAGAGUCAGACAUGACUCGAAGUGACAGCAUGCACACACGCACACAUCGCAGUAUACAGAUAUACUCUGAUUUGUUUGAAAUUUGCUGUUGUGUUCUAAAUUAAAUCUUCAGUUAAUUUUGCAUGGAUUUGUUUACUUUCUCUCAGGUAAAUACUUAAAGAGUGCAGUGUCUGAAUAAUAUGGUAGAUUUAAGAUUAACAUUGUUAAGAAACUGCCAAACUGGUUAUACCAUUUUUCAUUCCCUCAAACACUUUGUGAGAGUUCCACUCUCCUCAACCUCGCCAGUGCUUGGGAUGGUCAGUCUUUCUAAUUUUAGCCAUUCUCGUGUGAAUAUAGUGGUAUCCAAUUGUAGUUUUAAUUUAUAAUUCUCUAAUGAUAUUGAGCAAUUUUUCAUGUGCUUAUUUGCUGUUUCUGUAUCUUCUUUGGUGAAAUUUUUAUUCCAAAAUUUUCCCUAUUUAUUUAUUGUAGUAUCUUUUUUGCUUCUUAAAUGACUUUUGCUAGAUUUUCUGUAUUCUGGAUACAGAUGCUUUGUCAGAUAUAUAAUUUGCACAUAUUUUCUCCCAGCCAAUGCCUUGACUUUUCAUUUUCUGAGUAGUAUCUUAGGAAGGGCAGUUUUUAACUUGAAGUCCAGUUUUAUGUAUUAGUUUGCUUAUGGAUUAUAGUUUCAGUGUUUGUGAAAUCUUCACCUAACACAAGGUCACAAGGAUUUUCUCCUAUGUUUCCUCUAGAAGGUUGAAAACUUUAGGUUAUAUUUGGGUCUCUGAUGCAUUUUGAGUGGACAUUUGCAUAUUAUGUGAUAUGUGAAUCACUCUUUAUAUUUGUAUAUAUGAUAUCCACUUGUCCCAGCACCUUUUGUUGAUAAGACUAUCAUUUCUCCACUGAACUGCCUUUGCUUGUUUUCAAAAAUCAGUUCUCCGUAUAUGUUUGCAUCUAUUUCUGGAUACUUUAUUAUUUUCCUUCAAUCUGUUUGUUUACAUUGAUUCUAAUACCACACUUCCUUGAUUACUGUAGGUUUAUAGUGAGCACCCCACUCCAGUACUCUUGCCUGGAAAAUCCCAUGGAUGGAGGAGCCUGGUAGGCUGCAGUCCAUGGGGUUGCUAAGAGUCGGACACGACUGAAACGACUUAGCAGCAGCAUAGUGAGUCUUCAGAAAUCUUGGAGUCUUCAUCCUUCAACCUUAUUCUUCUUUACUCAAGGUUGUUUUUCAUAGUCCAUGACCUUUGUGUUUCCAUAUUAACUUCAGAAUUGGCCCAUAAAUUUCUUUUUAAAAAUAUUUUCUAGGAUUUUUAUUGGUAUUACACUGAAUAUAUAGACCAAUUUGGGAGAAGUACCAUCUUAACAAUACUACAUCUUUUGACCCACAAAGACAGUUGUCUGUCCAUUUAUUUAAGUUUUCUUUAAUUUUUCUGAGCAAUGUUUUAUAGUGUUCAGUGAACAGGUCUUGCUCAUUUUUGGACAAGUUGUUCAUACGUAUUUCAGACUUUUUGAUGCUAUUCUAAAGAACACUGUUUUGUAAAUAAAAUUUCCAGUUAUUGUAUUUUCACUGUACUGUCAGCAGCCAAAUGUUUAAUAAUAGCCACGCAGGGACUUUUUGGUUGAAAGAACAGGCUACUCUAGGAUGUAAAAACUAUUUGAUGUGUAACAUGCUUUUGACUGUGUUUCUUUAUCAGCUUUUAGAUGUUAUUGGCAAUGUGCUGAAACUAGGGAGGAAGAUGUCAGAGAUAGUUCUACAGGACAUCUCCAGAAAAAUCAGCGACUGAAAUAAAAUAAUUAUGGCAGCUUUCAAUUUCAUGCAUGUGGUUAGAAUUGAACCAAUUUAAUUGUGGGUUUUUUCUUUUUUGUGCCCCAGCAAGUCUUCCUCAGUGAAUUCCUGGGUUCUCCAGUGGUGAAACAGACAGAAGGAGAAAGCAC
rnacentral:lncRNA from 1 species